UACGGAGGGUGCAAGCGUUAUCCGGAUUCACUGGGUUUAAAGGGCGCGUAGGCGGGUCGGCAAGUCAGGGGUGAAAGCCCGCGGCUCAACCGCGGAAGUGCCUUUGAUACUGCCGGUCUUGAGGGAGGCAGGGGAGCGCGGAACUUCCGGUGGAGCGGUGAAAUGCGUAGAUAUCGGAAGGAACACCGGUGGCGAAAGCGGCGCUCUGGUCCUCUUCUGACGCUGAGGCGCGAAAGCCAGGGGAGCAAACGGG
rnacentral:rRNA from 1 species